rnacentral:lncRNA from 1 species
CCUAGUUGGAAAAAGGCUUUGGCACGCGCGGAUUAAAUGCCGAAAUAUCUAAGGGCGGCCAUGCACAGGAUUCAAGGGGGCAACUUCGGCUGUGAAAACUUUUCUGUACUUCCUUCAUUCGAAACUCGAACUCGAAAGUUGCGGGACUAGUGUUGGGUAUAAAAUAUCCUCCAGUCGAAGUUCGUGACAGGAGUGGCCCUUCGGGGGUUCUAUCGACUUCUGACCUGCGGCGAGAUCCCCCCGAACCUCUCUGGCGGCCGAGCCUCCGCAACACUCCCAAGUUUUGCCACCACCAGCGUCGACCAGAUUCUUCACGGUGGACGGACUCCGCCCAAGCUUCCACAA